rnacentral:misc_RNA from 1 species
CCCCCCACUCAAGUAUCCUUUUGUGCUACUUGGAUUGCUUUGGAGAGGUGCUUCUUGAUAAGAGUCGCCCUCCAGAAAUUUAUAGGCAGUAUGGUUUGCACCUGAACCAGACGUAAUAAUAAUAAAAUCGUUUGUUUGGGUAUAAUUGUGCUUGCCUUAUAACCCACCCAUUUUUACCUU